CACGUAGGGGGCAAGCGUUGUCCGGAAUUAUUGGGCGUAAAGAGCGUGUAGGCGGCCAGGUAGGUCUGGUGUGAAAACUCGAGGCUUAACCUCGAGAUGUCAUCGGAAACCAUCUGGCUAGAGUCCGGAAGAGGAGAGUGGAAUUCCUGGUGUAGCGGUGAAAUGCGCAGAUAUCAGGAAGAACACCAAUGGCGAAAAGCAGCUCUCUGGGACGGUACUGACGCUGAGACGCGAAAGCGUGGGGAGCGAACAGG
rnacentral:rRNA from 1 species